rnacentral:lncRNA from 1 species
GCAGGAUAUCACAGCGCAUAGUCCACUGGUCGGUACUCCAACAGUUAUAGAUGCAGUGGCUAUGCUGGCAAGCAUGUAGCAUUGACAUAUAGCAGACAAAUGUACCUUUUGGAGAGGAACCAGAAUGCAACUUUCAGCAAGACAGUGAAUUCCCGCUUGGCUGAAAGGUUUCAGCAUAUCUGCUUUGAGACACAGCCUGAAGUUCCAGGAGAAUAUUCUUUGGAGCUGGAAGUCAAUACAAGGGGUAGAGAGGGGAGAAAUCCAUCUUCUGGUAGGAGGUCAGUCUUGAUUCAAUUAAUUUCACCUUAGAAAUAUUAAAUUAUAUAUAUUACAAGCUUUUAGGACUUAAUAUUUACAUUUAAAGCUUUUAGGACCUCACAUUUAAAUUUAAAUUCAAAUUUAAAUUUAAAUAGGCUAACAUUCAAU